GCUUUAGAAGAAGCUGCAGUAAGUAUCUGUAAGACGUGUGACAAAGAACUACUAUAACAAGGACUCAGGAAGACAACACCCACAACUCACUGGAGAAAGAGGCCAUGGGAUGUCCACACCCAGCCUGUAUCACAUGAGAAGACUUCAGUCUCCAGGCUGGUGCAGAAUAAACUCUGCUAGUGGGCCCAAGCCAGGGACAACCAUCAGCUAUAGCAGCCCACAGUGUCAGGACAGGUGACAGCUGCUGAGGCAGAGCCAGCCCAUGCCUUGGAACUCCAGUUUCCAAAUGACAACAGGAAGAAUCUCUGCUGUUAUACACAUCUCCAGAGUGACAUUCUCAGAAGUCAUUGACUGUUUCAUGGCAGGACCAGAAAUGCUGAAAAUAGACCAAGAUUUAGUCAAAGAUUUGGGCAAGCUUCGGCUGGAAAGGAUCGACUACCUCCACCCAAAUUAUAAACAGGAGAUUUCUUACCUUGGAGGACCCAGGAGUACAAGGCAUGGCCAUCUGGAUAUCUGGGCCACACGAGAGAAACAAUCUGGGCAGACACUGGCAUGAUGGGUGUGUGGGCCGCACCCUGGAGUCAUUGUUUGCCCAACUGCUAUCUGGUCUUCAAGAGAUCCAGGACAAGAAGAUCUCAUGUGUGUUAGCAACACCAACACCUCAGAGGAAACUGGAACCACCACAAGGACCAACACAGGCUUCAAGACUGUGGUCCAAACCCUCAUAUCCUGACAUCAAAUGUUAUCUAGCCACUCUGAUGACCUUGACCCUCAACUUUGCCACUCCGUUGACCUUGACCUUCAAUUUGAUAUGAUUACAAACAUCAAGUAACUUAAAAAUGUGAUGACCCUGGAGUACAGACACAAUUUUAAUGUGGAUGUCUAGUAGAAAACACUGAAAUCCACACUCUGGUGGAAACUAGACAUAGUUUCUUAUGUUUCUUUAGUGUCACCAGAGCCUACCUAGAAGAAGCAAGACUUAUACCCUGAUUUCUAUAGAUCUCUGCCUUUAUCUUAUGUACCUAACACAGUGUCAUCUUACAAUAUUCUUUGUCAAGUAUCUCCUGCCCUACCAUUAUGUAUAUAGUCUUCAAUAAAUAUAAGGUUUAAUUGUG